GAAAUGCGAUAAGUAAUGUGAAUUGCAGAAUUCAGUGAAUCAUCGAAUCUUUGAACGCACAUUGCGCCCCUUGGUAUUCCGAGGGGCAUACCUGUUCGAGCGUCAUU
rnacentral:rRNA from 1 species